rnacentral:rRNA from 1 species
GCGCCCUGCCUGGAGGACUGGGAUAACUUCGGGAAACCGAAGCUAAUACCGGAUAGGAUCUUCUCCUUCAUGGGAGAUGAUUGAAAGAUGGUUUCGGCUAUCCCUUACAGAUGGGCCCGCGGUGCAUUAGCUAGUUGGUGAGGUAACGGCUCACCAAGG